GACGAACGCUGGCGGCGCGCCUAACACAUGCAAGUCGAGCGAAGCGGCGAACGGGUGAGUAACGCGCGAGGAAACUGCCUCUCACAACGGGACAGCCUCGGGAAACCGGGAUUAAUACCGUAUGGUGAGAGAUGGCCUCGCGUCUGAUUAGUUAGUUGGUGGGGUAACGGCCGACCAAGACGACGAUCAGUAACCGGCGUGAGAGAGUGAGCGGUCACAUUUGAACUGAGGCACGGUGCAAACUCCUACGGGAGGAAGGAGUGGGGAAUCUUGCGCAAUGGGGGGAAUCCUGAUGCAGCGACGCCGGGUGAGCGAUGAAGGUUUUAGAAGCGUGAAGCUAUAUCCUAUGGGAAUCGGUACCAACGGAGGAAGCCCCGGCUAACUACGUGCCAGGAGCCGCGGUAAUUC
rnacentral:rRNA from 1 species